rnacentral:rRNA from 1 species
GUCUCUUAGAAAUUAUUAAGAGUCAGGCCUGCCCAGUGAUUGCUUUUUAACGGCCGCGGUACCUUGACCGUGCAAAGGUAGCAUAAUCAUUUGCCUUUUAAUUGGAGGCUGGUAUGAACGGUUUGACGAGAGUAAAGCUGUCUCACACACAUUAAAUAAAAACUAAUUUAAAGGUGCAAAAGCCUUUAUAAAACAAAAAGACGAGAAGACCCUGUUGAGCUUUAAUUUUAAUGAGCACCAACUUUAUAUUAAUAUAAUUCAUUUGCUCAAUAAAAAUUUUAAUUGGGGCGAUUAAGGAACACAAUGAAGCUUCCUGACUUUAAUACUAAAUAUUUAUAAAUUAAAUCGAUCCAGCAAUGCUGAUCAACAAAAUGAGUUACCACAGGGAUAACAGCAUAAUUCUUUUUCAGAGCUCAUAUCGAAAAAAGAGAUUGUGACCUCGAUGUUGGACUAGGGUAACAAGAAGGUGGAGCAGCUUUCUUGCUUGGUCUGUUCGACCAGUAAUUCCCU